rnacentral:rRNA from 1 species
AGCAGCCGCGGUAAUUCCAGCUCCAAUAGCGUAUAUUAAAGUUGUUGCAGUUAAAAAGCUCGUAGUUGAAUUUCGAGACCGGUUUAUUGGUCGUGCUUUUGUACGUACUGGUAUUAUUGGUUUCUCCUUUCUGACGAAUCUUAAUGCCAUUAAUUUGGUGUUUUGGGGAAUCAGGACUGUUACUUUGAAAAAAUUAGAGUGUUUAAAGCAGGCUCACGCUUGAAUACAUUAGCAUGGAAUAACGGAAUAGGACGUUUGAUUCUAUUUUGUUGGUUUCUAGGAUCGACGUAAUGAUUAAUAGGGAUAGUUGGGGGCAUUAGUAUUCAAUUGUCAGAGGUGAAAUUCUUGGAUUUAUUGAAGACUAACUACUGCGAAAGCAUUUGCCAAGGAUGUUUUCAUUAAUCAAGAACGAAAGUUAGGGGAUCGAAGACGAUCAGAUACCGUCGUAGUCUUAACCAUAAACUAUGCCGACUAGGGAUCGGAUGAUGUUAAUUUUUUAAUGACUCAUUCGGCGCCUUACG